UCUCAUUAUUAGCAUUUUUGAAAUAUCAUUAGGAAGGAAUUUUUAUGAUUUCGAUUAUGAAUAUAACAGUCCAAAACAAAAAGAAAAAUACUAUUAUGUUGAUGAUAAUUAUCGUGACAGGACAAAUGAUGAUUAUCAGGAAUACCACGCUAGUAGCCAGAUUCGCUAUAAUAACCCACCAUGUCCUUCCAAAAGAAGAGAUAUUUUUUUAAACAAAGACAUGUUUGUAAAGAAAUACGAAAAUCUUCAGACAAAUUUUAUAACUGCUAAAAGAUGCAUUGAAGGCAAAAUUGAUAACAAACUUUGUAUACCCACAAAGAUUAGAAAGAAAACCAUUAAGAUUAGGAAAAGUGGCGACACUUUCGUAAAAAUUGUUUACCACGAUCAUGAAAAAUGUGAAUGGUCAGAACAACGAUGCGAAGAAGGGAAAUUACCAAAUCAAAAUGACGAAUGUGUGUGUAAAAUAAGGUGUAAAGGCAAAAAAGUUUUAGAUCAGGAAAAUUGCAUGUGCAAAUGUGAUAUUUCGUGCACCACCGGCACUGACUUAAAUGAGGAAACUUGUACAUGUUCUGGAUCAUCAACAAAAAAUUAUCGU